rnacentral:rRNA from 1 species
GCUCUAGUAUAAGCAAUUUAUACAGUGAAACUGCGAAUGGCUCAUUAAAUCAGUUAUCGUUUAUUUGAUAGUUCCUUUACUACAUGGUAUAACUGUGGUAAUUCUAGAGCUAAUACAUGCUUAAAAUCUCGACCCUUUGGAAGAGAUGUAUUUAUUAGAUAAAAAAUCAAUGUCUUCGGACUCUUUGAUGAUUCAUAAUAACUUUUCGAAUCGCAUGGCCUUGUGCUGGCGAUGGUUCAUUCAAAUUUCUGCCCUAUCAACUUUCGAUGGUAGGAUAGUGGCCUACCAUGGUUUCAACGGGUAACGGGGAAUAAGGGUUCGAUUCCGGAGAGGGAGCCUGAGAAACGGCUACCACAUCCAAGGAAGGCAGCAGGCGCGCAAAUUACCCAAUCCUAAUUCAGGGAGGUAGUGACAAUAAAUAACGAUACAGGGCCCAUUCGGGUCUUGUAAUUGGAAUGAGUACAAUGUAAAUACCUUAACGAGGAACAAUU